rnacentral:lncRNA from 1 species
CGAUCGUUGCAGCAGAGAGCAACGGCCGCGACUCCGAGAUGUUGUUCGUUUCGGAUUCAGGAUUCUCUGCUUCAUGCUUGUUCGGUUUGGAAGAAGAGGACAGUGAAAAGACGCAAAGGGAGAAGGCGGUUAAUUUCGGAGCGCAGAACCGAACGGGCCUUGGCCCAAGAACAGACGGGCCGGGAGAGAGCGAGGGGCCGGUGACAUGGGCCUCGGGACAACUAGAAACGUUUAGGGUCUUCUCGUUCUGAAUUUGAAGUAAAACGAGUUUCCCUCAAAAAAAAAAGGAAAACGAGUGUUCAUCGUCUUUAGCCAAAAGAAAAACACAAACAUACAGGAUUAUGAUUGCUUGGUGGAUUUAAGCUUCAGAAACAAUUUCGAUAGUACAGUACGGUAGAUGUGAUAGGCGAUCUGCUAAUUGACCAGUG